rnacentral:rRNA from 1 species
AGGGUGUAAACGCUGCAGACUUGGUGUUGGGAACCCUUCGGGGGUGCUCAGUGCCGGAGAGAAGUUGUUAAGUCUGCUACUUGGGAGUACGUCCGCAAGGAUGAAACUUAAAGGAAUUGGCGGGGGAGCACCGCAACGGGAGGAGCGUGCGGUUUAAUUGGAUUCAACACCGGAAAACUCACCAGGGGAGACUGUUACAUGAAACCCAGACUAAUGAUCUUGGUUGAUUUUCAGAGAGGUGGUGCAUGGCGUCAGUGACU